rnacentral:tRNA from 1 species
AUUUAAAUAGUUUAAUAAAAAUAAUGAUUUGUGGUAUCAUAGUUGUACGUAUGUAUUUUAAAUA